rnacentral:misc_RNA from 1 species
GAUGAAGAACGCAGCGAAAUGCGAUAAGUAGUGUGAAUUGCAGAAUUCAGUGAAUCAUCGAAUCUUUGAACGCACAUUGCGCCCUCUGGUAUUCCGGGGGGCAUGCCUGUUCGAGCGUCAUUACAACCCUCAAGCUUUGCUUGGUAUUGGACAUUGCCAGUUUCUGGCAGGUCUUAAAAUCAGUGGCGGUGCCAUUUGGCUUCAAGCGUAGUAAUUCUUCUCGCUUUGGAGAUCCAGGUGGUUACUUGCCAAUAACCCCCAAUUUUUUCAGGUUGACCUCGGAUCAGGUAGGGAUACCCGCUGAACUUAAGCAUAUCAAUAAGCGGAGGA